GAGAUGUAUUAAAGGAGAGAAACUUAGCACUCCCCUUAUAAGGACAGAAGAGAUCCCUGGCCUAACACCUUCUGCAACUUCUGCAUCUAACCACUUAAACAGCAAGUCCCUGAUUGACAGGAGUUUGU